UACGUAGGGUGCGAGCGUUAAUCGGAAUUACUGGGCGUAAAGGGUGCGCAGGCGGUUCUGCAAGUCAGGCGUGAAAGCCCCGGGCUUAACCUGGGAAUGGCGCUUGAAACUUCAGGACUGGAGUAUGGCAGAGGGAGGUGGAAUUCCACGUGUAGCGGUGAAAUGCGUAGAGAUGUGGAGGAACACCGAUGGCGAAGGCAGCCUCCUGGGCCAAUACUGACGCUCAUGCACGAAAGCGUGGGGAGCAAACAGG
rnacentral:rRNA from 1 species